GUUGUAGCUCAGUCGGUAGAGCGUUGGAUUGCUGGGCCAGAGGUCGUAGGAUUAAAU
rnacentral:tRNA from 12 species